rnacentral:lncRNA from 1 species
GUGGAUGGUCGAUCAGGCGGCGGGUGGUGCAGUAGCUCCACGGCAGUCGACGUCGCCGUGCUGGCUGCGGUGAGGAUGAUGUGGCGUGUUUUGAAAUAUUAGGGGUUAAUUAUUAGCGAUCUGCUGUGUGUUGAUAUAUUUUUGGGGAAAAUUUUUUUUAGAGGAACCCCCAAUACAUAGUUUUGGGGAAGAAUUUUUUAAGGUACUCUCGGAGUUGCUCUUAGCUGGAUGCCUGGGGCUGCUCACCCCUGCCUCGUUUGAUUUACACCAAUGCUUACAAUUUGGGGCCUUGUCAUUCUCCUUAUGUAACUGCACAUAUUGUUAGCCUUUUAGGGGAUUAUGGUGCCUUAUAUAUGAGUGAGUGCAGCCACACUCGAACGGUGGACGAGUAUAACCACGACACUCUCAUUAUCUGGGAAUUAUGGAAGGAAAGGAACACGAAAGUUAAGUUUUUGAGCAUCAAGAAGCCUCCCCAGCCGCUGAUGUAUAAAAUAAA